rnacentral:misc_RNA from 1 species
UCUCCGUAGGUGAACCUGCGGAGGGAUCAUUACAGAGUUCUCGCCCUCGCGGGUAGAUCUCCCACCCACUGUUAUCGUUACUGUGUUGCUUUGGCGGGCCGCCGGGCCCCGCGCGGCCGCCGGCUCCGGCUGGCGCGCGCCCGCCAGAGGCCCAGCAAACUCUGAAUGUUAGUGUCGUCUGAGUACUAUAUAAUAGUUAAAACUUUCAGCAACGGAUCUCUUGGUUCUG